GACGAACCGUACGAACGUUAUUCGGAAUCACUGGGCUUAAAGGGUGCGUAGGCGGCGCGACAAGUUGGGUGUGAAAUCCCUCGGCUCAACCGAGGAACUGCGCCCAAAACUGUCGUGCUCGAGGGAGACAGAGGUGAGCGGAACUUAGGGUGGAGCGGUGAAAUGCGUUGAUAUCCUAAGGAACACCGGUGGCGAAGGCAGAUCUCUGGGCCGUAACUGACGCUGAGGAGCGAAAGCAUGGGGAGCGAACAGG
rnacentral:rRNA from 1 species